AAUCAACGCUGGCGGCGUGCCUAACACAUGCAAGUCGAACGGGAAGGAGGGCUUCGGCUCUCCGGAGAGUGGCGCACGGGUGAGUAACACGUGGGUAAUCUGCCUUUGGGUGGGGAAUAACGAUCCGAAAGGGUCGCUAAUACCGCAUAACGCAGCGGCACCGCAUGGUGACAGUUGUUAAAGGGGGGGAUCGAAAGACCUCUCGCCUGAAGAGGAGCCCGCGCCCGAUUAGCUUGUUGGUGAGGUAAUGGCUCACCAAGGCUUCGAUCGGUAGCCGGCCUGAGAGGGCGGUCGGCCACACUGGCACUGAGACACGGGCCAGACUCCUACGGGAGGCAGCAGUGGGGGAAUUUUGGGCAAUGGGUGCGAGCCUGAUCCAGCCAUGCCGCGUGCAGGAAGACGGCCUUCUGGGUUGUAAACUGCUUUUGCCAGGGGAUAAAAGUCCCUGCGGGGAAAAUUGAAGGUACCUGGUGAAUAAGCCACGGCUAACUACGUGCCAGCAGCCGCGGUAAAG
rnacentral:rRNA from 1 species